AUAUACAAUAUAUGUAUGUAUUUGUGUAUGUGCAUGUACUUAUGCAUAUAGACAUGUGUGUGUCUCUACAU
rnacentral:pre_miRNA from 1 species